AUUAUAUUAUAAAUAUAAUAAUAAUAAUAAUAAAUAAUAAUCGACCGUCUGUAGAGCAAGUGGCAAAAUGUUUGAUGGUUGGUACCCGGCCGAGAUCCAAAUUCGAUUUUUAGUUGAUUCACAUUUCUAGCUAAAUUUAUUUCUAAAUGAAAUAAGCGAAUUGAGCAGGUAGCGUGCUAUCUAUCUCUCAAAAUAAAUAAUAUAAUAAUACUUUUUAUUAAAGUAUAUAAAUUAAUUACAUCAUUUUAUAUCAUAA
rnacentral:lncRNA from 1 species